CCACUUUCUUUUUCAAAGUUGUUUGGCUUCUUUAGGUCCUUUGCGUUUCCACAUAAACUUUAGAAUAAGCUCCUAAAUGUCUGUUAAAAAGCCCACUGAGGUUUUAAUCGGGAUCGCAUUGAACCUAUGGAUCAGUCGGGAAGUUGGCCUCUGAACCAUCUUGAGCCUCUGACCAAUGACCCUGCUUUGCGUCCUGCCAUUUCUUACAUCUCAAAUUUUUCUCAGCCACGUUUUGUGAUUUUCAGGGCACAGACGGUGCAUGUCCUAGAUCAGAACUAUCCCUGUGUCAUAGUUUUGAUGCUCCUGUAAUUGGCAUUGUUUAUUUCAAUUUCUGGUUGUUGAUGGCCAAUAUGUAGAAAUACCACGGAGUUUUCUAUGUUGAGCUUUUAUCCUGAAACCUUUUGAACUCACGCAUCAGUUCUAGUAACUUUUUUGGAGAGUUUUACCAAAUUUUCUCCAUAGGUUAUUGGAUAUUCAUGACAUCUCUGAAUAAAGACAGUUUCGCUUCUUCCUUUUUAAUCUGGA